GACGAACGCUGGCGGCGUGCUUAACACAUGCAAGUCGAACGGAAAGGCCCUGCUUUUGUGGGGUGCUCGAGUGGCGAACGGGUGAGUAACACGUGAGUAACCUGCCCUUUACUUUGGGAUAACUUCAGGAAACUGGGGCUAAUACCGGAUAGGAGCUCCUGCUGCAUGGUGGGGGUUGGAAAGUUUCGGCGGUUGGGGAUGGUCUCGCGGCUUAUCAGCUUGUUGGUGGGGUAGUGGCUUACCAAGGCUUUGACGGGUAGCCGGCCUGAUAGGGUGACCGGACAAAUUGGGACUGAGAUACGGCCCAGACUCCUACGGGAGGCAGCAGUGGGGAAUAUUGCACAAUGGGCGGAAGCCUGAUGCAGCAACGCCGCGUGCGGGAUGACGGCCUUCGGGUUGUAAACCGCUUUCGCCUGUGACGAAGCGUGAGUGACGGUAAUGGGUAAAGAAGCACCGGCUAACUACGUG
rnacentral:rRNA from 1 species